rnacentral:rRNA from 1 species
CAAUAGCGUAUAUUAAAGUUGUUGCAGUUAAAAAGCUCGUAGUUGGAUUUCUGGUCGGAAGCUCCUGUCCUCUGAUGAGCGUACAAGUGCGUCCUACCAUCCUUCUGUUAACCUUUAAGGCUUUCGCGGCUUUCUAGGGGCUCAGAUAUUUUACCUUGAGAAAAUUAGAGUGUUUCAGGCAGGCUCGCGCCGGAAUACAUUAGCAUGGAAUAAUGGAAUAGGACUUUUGCCUCUUCUGUUGGUCAUGAGGCUCGAGUAAUGAUUAAUAGGGAUAGUUGGGGGCAUUAGUACUUAACUGUCAGAGGUGAAAUUCUCGGAUUUGUUAAAGACUAACUUAUGCGAAAGCAUUUGCCAAGGAUGUUUUCAUUAA